rnacentral:rRNA from 2 species
AGUGGCGGACGGGUGAGGAACACGUGAGAAUCUGCCUACAGGUUCGGGACAACAGUUGGAAACGACUGCUAAUACCGGAUAAGCCUUUGGGUGAAAGAUUAAUUGCCUGGAGAUGAGCUCGCGUCUGAUUAGCUAGUUGGUGGGGUAAAGGCCUACCAAGGCUGCGAUCAGUAGCUGGUCUGAGAGGAUGAUCAGCCACACUGGGACUGAGACACGGCCCAGACUCCUACGGGAGGCAGCAGUGGGGAAUUUUCCGCAAUGGGCGAAAGCCUGACGGAGCAAGACCGCGUGAGGGAGGAAGGCUCUUGGGUUGUAAACCUCUUUUCUCAGGGAAUAACAAUGAAGGUACCUGAGGAAUAAGCAUCGGCUAACUCCGUGCUAGCAGCCGCGGUAAUACGGAGGAUGCAAGCGUUAUCCGGAAUGAUUGGGCGUAAAGCGUCCGCAGGUGGUGAGCCAAGUCUGUUGUCAAAGCGUUAGGCUUAACCUAAUAAAGGCAGUGGAAACUGGCACACUAGAGUACGGUAGGGGUAGAGGGAAUUCCUGGUGUAGCGGUGAAAUGCGUAGAGAUCAGGAAGAACACCGGUGGCGAAAGCGCUCUGCUGGACCGAAACUGACACUGAGGGACGAAAGCUAGGGGAGCGAAUGGGAUUAGAUACCCCAGUAGUCCUAGCCGUAAACGAUGGAUACUAGGCGUU